rnacentral:rRNA from 1 species
ACAUGUCUUUUUGAAACUUAUUUAAAGUCGGGCCUGCCCACUGAAUAUAUUGAAUGGCCGCGGUAUCUUGACCGUGCAAAGGUAGCAUAAUCAUUAGUCUUUUAAUUGAAGGCUGGAAUGAAUGGUUUGACGAAGUAUAAGCUGUCUCUGUAUAAUAAAUGGAAUUUGUCUUUUUAGUUAAAAGACUUAAAUAAAAAUAAGGGACGAGAAGACCCUAUAGAGCUUUAUAUAAUUGUAUAAUAUGAAUUUUUUAGAUGUUUUAUUAGUUUAUUAUGUAAUUAUAUUGUGUUGGGGUGACAUAAAGAUAAAAUUAACUCUUUAUACUUAUUAACAUAGAUUUAUGAAUGUUUGAUCCAGUAUUACUGAUUGAAAGAUAAAGUUACCUUAGGGAUAACAGCGUAAUCCUUCUUGAGAGUUCAUAUCGAAAGAGGGGGUUGCGACCUCGAUGUUGGACUAAGAAAAUGAUUAAAUGCAGCAGUUUAAUUAAUAGGUCUGUUCGACCUUUAAAUUCUUAC